GCCUAGUUAGCUUAGUUGGUAGUGCGUCUGCCUUGUAAGCGCUAGGCCGCGGGUUCGAUUCCCGCCAGGGGCA
rfam:Asian citrus Psyllid, Diaphorina citri - Florida Strain, whole genome shotgun sequence.